rnacentral:rRNA from 1 species
GACGAACGCUGGCGGCGUGCCUAAUACAUGCAAGUCGAACGCUUUUUCUUUCGCCGGAGCUUGCUCCACCGAAAGAAAAAGAGUGGCGAACGGGUGAGUCACACGUGGGUAACCUGCCCAUCAGAAGGGGAUAACACUUGGAAACAGGUGCUAAUACCGUAUAACACUAUUUUCCGCAUGGAAGAAAGUUGAAAGGCGCUUUUGCGUCACUGAUGGAUGGACCCGCGGUGCAUUAGCUAGUUGGUGAGGUAACGGCUCACCAAGGCAACGAUGCAUAGCGGACCGGGGAGGGGGAUCGGCCACACUGGGACUGAAGCACGGCCCAGACUCCUGCGGGAGGUAGCAGUAGGGAAUCUUCGGCAAUGGACGAAAGUCUGACCGAGCAACGCCGCGUGAGUGAAGAAGGUUUUCGGAUCGUAAAACUCUAUUGUUAGAGAAGAACAAGGAUGAGAGUAAAACGUUCAUCCCUUGACGGUAUCUAACCAGAAAGCCACGGCUAACUACGUGCCAGCCGCCGCCGUAA